rnacentral:rRNA from 1 species
UAGAGUUUGAUCAUGGCUCAGAUUGAACGCUGGCGGCAGGCCUAACACAUGCAAGUCGGACGGCAGCGGGAGGAAGCUUGCUUCCUUGCCGGCGAGUGGCGGACGGGUGAGUAAUAUCUGGGGAUCUGCCUGAUGGAGGGGGAUAACCACUGGAAACGGUGGCUAAUACCGCAUGAAGUCGCGAGACCAAAGCGGGGGACCUUCGGGCCCCGCGCCAUCAGAUGAACCCAGACGGGAUUAGCCGGAAGGUGGGGUAACGGCUCACCUUGGCGACGAUCCCUAGCUGGUCUGAGAGGAUGAUCAGCCACACUGGGACUGAGACACGGCCCACACUCCUGCGGGAGGCAGCAGUGGGGAAUAUUGCACAAUGGGGGAAACCCUGAUGCAGCCAUGCCGCGUGUAUGAAGAAGGCCUUCGGGUUGUAAAGUACUUUCAGCAGGGAGGAAGGGGUGAGGAGUAACAUGCCUUGCCAUUGACGUUACCUGCAGAAGAAGCACCGGCUAACUCCGUGCCAGCAGCCGCGGUAAUACGGAGGGUGCGAGCGUUAAUCGGAAUUACUGGGCGUAAAGGGCACGCAGGCGGUUAAUUAAGCCGGAUGUGAAAUCCCCGGGCUCAACCCGGGAACUGCAUUCGGAACUGGUUGACUGGAGUUCUGUAGAGGGGGGUGGAAUUCCACGUGUAGCGGUGAAAUGCGUAGAGAUGUGGAGGAACACCAGUGGCGAAGGCGGCCCCCUGGACAGAGACUGACGCUCAAGUGCGAAAGCGUGGGGAGCAAACAGGAUUAGAUACCCUGGUAGUCCACGCUGUAAACGAUGUCGAUUUAAGGCUGUGGUCAUGAACUGUGGCUUUUGGAGCAAACGCGUUAAAUCGACCGCCUGGGGAGUACGGCCGCAGAGUUAAACUCAAUGAAUUGACGGGGGCCCGCACAAGCGGUGGAGCAUGUGGUUUAAUUCGAUGCAACGCGACGAACCUUACCUGGUCUUGACAUCCGACAGAGACUGCAUAGAUGCUGCUGCUGUCUUUCAGGUACUGUGAGAGCAGAUGCUGCAUGACUGGUCGAUCAGCUCGUGCUUGUGCUAAUGGUAGGUAAGUUCCCGCAGCGAGUCGCCUAACCAUGGUCGUUUGUUGCCAGUCCGGUAUGCCGACUCAGCAGACUGCGUUGAUCUAUCCGGCAGGAAGGCUUGGGGGAACGAAGU